GAUGAACACUGGCGGCGUGCCUAAUACAUGCAAGUCGAGCGAACGGACGAGAAGCUUGCUUCUCUGAUGUUAGCGGCGGACGGGUGAGUAACACGUGGAUAACCUACCUAUAAGACUGGGAUAACUUCGGGAAACCGGAGCUAAUACCGGAUAAUAUUUUGAACCGCAUGGUUCAAAAGUGAAAGACGGUCUUGCUGUCACUUAUAGAUGGAUCCGCGCUGCAUUAGCUAGUUGGUAAGGUAACGGCUUACCAAGGCAACGAUGCAUAGCCGACCUGAGAGGAUGAUCGGCCACACUGGAACUGAGACACGGUCCAGACUCCUACGGGAGGCAGCAGUAGGGAAUCUUCCGCAAUGGGCGAAAGCCUGACGGAGCAACGCCGCGUGAGUGAUGAAGGUCUUCGGAUCGUAAAACUCUGUUAUUAGGGAAGAACAUAUGUGUAAGUAACUGUGCACAUCUUGACGGUACCUAAUCAGAAAGCCACGGCUAACUACGUG
rnacentral:rRNA from 1 species